GACGAACGCUGGCGGCGUGCCUAAUACAUGCAAGUCGAGCGCAGGAAAUCGACGGAACCCUUCGGGGGGAAGUCGAUGGAAUGAGCGGCGGACGGGUGAGUAACACGUAAAGAACCUGCCCUCAGGUCUGGGAUAACCACGAGAAAUCGGGGCUAAUACCGGAUGGGUCAUCGGACCGCAUGGUCCGAGGAUGAAAGGCGCUUCGGCGUCGCCUGGGGAUGGCUUUGCUGUGCAUUAGCUAGUUGGUGGGGUAAUGGCCCACCAAGGCGACGAUGCAUAGCCGACCUGAGAGGGUGAUCGGCCACACUGGGACUGAGACACGGCCCAGACUCCUACGGGAGGCAGCAGUAGGGAAUCUUCCACAAUGGACGAAAGUCUGAUGGAGCAACGCCGCGUGAACGAUGAAGGCCUUCGGGUCGUAAAGUUCUGUUGUAAGGGAAGAACAAGUGCCGCAGGCAAUGGCGGCACCUUGACGGUACCUUGCGAGAAAGCCACGGCUAACUACGUGCCAGCCGCCGCAGUAAAAC
rnacentral:rRNA from 1 species